GAUGAACGCUGGCGGCGUGCUUAACACAUGCAAGUCGAACGGAAAGGCCACUUUGGGGCUACUCGAGUGGCGAACGGGUGAGUAACAGGUGAGUAACCUGCCCCUGCCUUCGGGACAACUUCAGGAAACUGGGGCUAAUACCGGAAAGGAAUCCUAUCUGCAUGGGGGGGGUUGGAAAGCUUCGGCGGUUUUGGAUGGACUCGCGGCUUAUCAGCUUGUUGGUGGGGUAGUGGCUUACCAAGGCGUUGACGGGUAGCCGGCCUGGGAGGGCGACCGGCCACAUUGAGACUGAGAUACGGCCCAGGCUCCGACGGGAGGGAGAAGUGGGGAAGAUUGCACAAUGGGCGGAAGGCUGAUGCAGCAGCGCCGCGGGCGGGAUGACGGCCUUCGGGUUGUAAACCGAUUUCAGCAGGAGCGAAGCUUGUGGUGACGGUACCUGAAGAAGAAGCACCGGCUAACUACGUG
rnacentral:rRNA from 1 species